GAUGAAGAACGUAGCGAAAUGCGAUACUUGGUGUGAAUUGCAGAAUCCCGUGAACCAUCGAGUCUUUGAACGCAAGUUGCGCCCGAAGCCACUAGGCCGAGGGCACGCCUGCCUGGGCGUCACACGCCGUUGCCCCCCCAUCUACUCCUUCGGGAGUGCGGGGGGGCGGAUGAUGGCCUCCCGUGCGCCUAGCCGCGCGGUUGGCAUAAAUACCAAGUCCUCGGCGACGCACGCCACGACAAUCGGUGGUUGCGAAACCUCGGUUGCCCGUCGUGUGCGUUCGUCGCGCAUCGAGGGCUCGAAAAAAUGCUCGGCUCCGGCUGGGCUUUCAACGCGACCCCAGGUCAGGCGGGGUUACCCGCUGAAUUUAAGCAUAUCAAUAAGCGGAGGA
rnacentral:misc_RNA from 1 species